rnacentral:lncRNA from 1 species
AUCACUUAAAAAAUAACAGCAGUAGGUACAAUAUUGACAGAGCUCUCUGCCUAGGCUUCCCUCACAGCACCAUGGCAACCAACUAUGGGAAAUAAAGUCUGAUGGAUCAGAAUACAAUAUCUUGACAGACCCUAUAACUUGGAGGAAAACAUGUUGGGUCAAGGGUGGGAAAGUUUGGUUUCUGACGCUGUUCAAGGCGUUGGAUUCUUUUCGGCAUGAUCCUGCCAUCGCUGUUUUGAUGAGCAUUGAAACGCAUUCUUGUUUAAAGGGAAUUGAAAAGAGUUGCGUCAAUAGCUGUAUAUUCUAUAUUUUAUAUGGUGAAGGCUGAAGCCUUCAUAGGGAGUACGAGUUACUCACAGUUCCACAAAUCAAUGAUUGUGCAUUUUUUAUGCUGCAUGUGGUCUUUCCCUUUCACCUCUGAGCAAGAUAACAGUGUAGGAUUACUGUAUACUGAGGACAACACAUAGGAUGAUAAGAAUCUAGUCACAGAUUAGAAUUUUGAGCAGAUGUUACAUUUUAUAUAGACAUAAACCUCAACAUUUGCAAAGAAACCCAGAUGAAUGCAGUUUACGGCUAGAGCAUCAAUGUGUUAGACAAGCAGAAUUUUGGAUAAUGUUCACUUUUCCCAAUUCUCCACUACAUUUUCUACUGUACAUUCUUCACCUAGACAUGGCUGUGACAUCCCAAAGCCCUUGAUUGCUUUCUGUCUGGAUCUCUAGCACUGUGAAAAUCAAACUUCAGGCAGCGGCAUGGUGAGGAAAAUACACACACACACACACACACACACAAAAUGAAUGAAUGCAUUCUGCAGACAACAGGCUGGAAGCCAUCUCUAUUAAUUUCUGAUGAACGCGAGGAAAGGCCUCAAUGGGGAUCCACACAAAAUAAUAUCUGAAAAGUAUGCAUUAGUAUGCUUUACCAUAAAGCCGUUUUUUACAUAUGAAGGCCACAUGCAGUACACAGCAUAUAAAGGCUGAGUAGUAUAAUUGACCUCCAUAUGAUUUCUAGAGUAUUGUUUGGUCUCAAACAAACACGUAACAAAAACACAGAGUUGAAACCCAAACAAAAGAGCGAGGAGUACCUUGAAUAAAUAACACACGCGCACGAUGAUUAACACACAGACCCGUAAUCAUCUGCGCAUCCACAACGACACGAAAGCCCAAAACACACAACACAGCUACUCACACGCACCAACGGACAUUGUAACAAUAAUCGACAAGACCAUGGAAACCAAAGGGCACAUAUAUACAAAUAUUAAUCAGUGGGAAUAGGGGACAGGUGUGCGUGAUGAAAGUUCCGGAGGGAUCCGUGACAGUACACCCCCCCCCGCAACCAGCAGCGCAACGACACCGGCCUCGAGGAUGAUCUCAGGAACGCAGUGCGGGUUGAUCAGGACCUGAUGCAGCUGCCGAAGUUCCGUUGUCGUUGGACAGACCAGUAGCAGUGGCGUCGGACGGUCCGGUUGUGGCGGCAUCGGACGGGCCAGUUGUAGCUGCUGAAGUUGCGUCGUCGGACGGACCCGUUGUGGUGACGUCGGACGACCCAGUUGCAGCUGCCGAAGUUGCGGCGGCGCCGGACGGACAAGUCGCAGCGUCGAACGGACGGGCCAUUCCCGCUGUUUCCCUUAAUGGUAGAUUAUUCUGUCAUGUCGGUAACAAUGAUUCGGGAGACAGGCGCAGGAAUGCGUAUAGGGUUUUUUAUUCAGCCCAAAUUACUGUGUGCCGUGUAAAGGCACGGGGACGAAAACCAAACAUACACGUAACAAAACACAGGGUUGAAACCCAAACAAAAGAGCGAGGAGUACCUCGAAUGAAUACACACUCGCACAAUGAUUAACACACGGGACGAGACCCGUAAUCAUCUGCGCAAUCCACAACGGCAUGAAAGCCCAAAACACACAGCACAGGUACUCACACGCACCAAUGGACAUUGUAACGAUAAUCAAUAGCACAAUGGCGAACAAAGGGCACAUAUAUACAAUUACUAAUCAGUGGGAAUAGGGGACAGGUGUGCGUGAUGAAAGUUCCCGGAGGGAUCCAUGACAAGUAUAUUCAAGACAGACUAUGAUAUAAGAACAGAAAGCAUCUCUAUAUCUGUAGAAACACUGGCUACACAUUAAGGAGCAAUACUGAAAUCCAGAGCUUAGAGUAAAAAUGUUGAAGCCAUUCUGUCUGCCACACGGGAAUAUCCCAAGGCCAGGAAGAAAUGAAAAUGAGAGGAGAUAGAUGGAGUAAAAGAAGAUAGCUCUUGAAGUUCAGUAUUCUGAAGCAGAAAAGUGUGGUGAGGGCUGAGAUGGAGUGGAAAUGAAGCAUGGAGAGCAUUGGAAUACUGUAGCUCAAGUGCUGAGGGAUUGAAGAGAGAGAGGCAGAGGGAGAGGGAGAGGGAGGGAGCUAGAGCUAGAGCUAGAGCGAGAGCGAUGGAGAGAGCGAGCGAGAGCGAGGGAGAGAGAGAAAGAGAAAGAGAGAGAGAGCGAGAGAGAGUGAGAGCAAGGGAGAGAAAGAGAAAGAGAAAGAGAGAGAGAGAGCGAGUGAGACCGAGAGAGAGGGAGAGAGCUAGAGCGAGGGAGAGAGAGAAAGAAAGAGAAAGAGAAAGAGACAGAGAGAGAGCAAGAGUGAGAGUGAGAGCGAGACAGGGAGAGAGAGCAAGCGAGAGAGAAAGAGAAAGAGAGAGAGCGAGAGUGAGUGAGAGCGAGAGCGAGAGAGCGAGAGCGAGGGAGAGAGAGAAAGAGAAAGAGAAAGAGAGAGAGAGAGAGUGAGAGCGAGGAAGAGAAAGAAAGAGAGAGAGAGUGAGAGCGAGAGAGAGGGAGAGCUAGAGCGAGCGAGAGAGAAAGAGAAAGAGAGAGAGCGAGAGUGAGUGAGAGCGAGAGAGAGCGAGGGAGAGAGAGAAAGAGAAAGAGAGAGAGAGAGAGAGCGAGAGCGAGGUAGAGAGAGCGAGAGCUAGAGCGAGAGCGAGGUAGAGAAAGCGAGAGAGAGAGAGAGAUAACAGCUCUAUCAACAUUCUACAGUGGUUUAGGAAGAUGAUUAGAUUGAAAAGGGAUACCAUGAGUACUAAAAAAAGAACAGCAAAAAAUGAAACAAAGUAAAAGGUGUAAGAGGCAGGAUGUGACACUUCAUCAGAUUACAAGCAUUACCCCUAAACAUCCAUAUAUGGCAACAUCAGUGGGAAAGAUAAUGUGGAACGAAGAGGGAAAAAUUCUUAGCACUCACAACCCUUGAAGAGCACUCAAACACACCUGUGGUUUAGAUGCUGUAGUCUGGAUGAAAGCAAAGGAGUAGUCUUGAUUCUAUAUCGCUUCAAUAGCCUGCAGCAGCUAAGACGGAUACAGCAGCAGCUAUGACUGCAGGAGAAGAUCAGAAAACCAAGGAGUCUGAAACAAAGUGAUGGCCAUCACUGUAUGAAAAACACAGUGGAGGUGAAAUAUCAGUCACAGCCAUCACUUCCAUGACUAAAGCCCUUUUGAUGUGAUAUGUUGGUUUAUAACACAAUUAUAAAUGUUUUACAUGACCUCUCUAAGAAUCGAUGGAUCCCUGAGAAUAUCUGACUCAACUUUGAUCCGAUCUCCGAUAUUACGAGGGACCUGAUUUCAUAGACCAGUGUUUCCAAGGGCUACAACAAAACUGUGUACUGUUGGGGGGUACUCAAGGACCAGGGUUGGGAAACACUGUCACAGACCUUCCACAAAUUGCUUUCUUUAUUAAAGCCUUUUCAUGAUGUAUCCAGGACACCAGUGGUGUUUUUAAUUGAUUUGACUUUUCUCA